CCGCCCACGGCCGCCUCGGCCGGGCGGCGAGCGGCGCUGCCUCCGAGGCCGCGGCGGCGGUCGGCGCCGCCCUCAGGUGGCGUGGACAUGUGGACGCGGUGCUGCUUCUGUGUCGCCUUCCUCGCAGAAUCGCGGAAUCGAUGGAGUUGCAAUGGCUGCCAUCCACCGAACAAGUCAAACAGCAAGGCCUUUCUAGAACAAACCUGUCACUGAACCCUGGAACGACUUUUUACCUGGACAAACUUGCUCUUGAAGAUGGGAGUAGAAGUAAAAAGAAUGUACUCUCCUUUGCUAAGAAGUCUCUGAAUGUCAUAUAUGAUGGGCAUCUGACUGCACUGCAUCUGUGUCCUCUGCUGUGUCUGCUAGUGAUGGACCUGGGAGAAGCCUGGGCCAGCAUCUCCAUGAAUACAUGAGGAUGGUAUUGGUUGUCUGGCAGUUCUCCAAAGCAAUGCAACAGCAAGCUGAAAUGAGCAUAGCUGAAGAGGCAGUCAGCAACAGCAAGAAAUCUAUCUGGCAAGAAACCACAAGAAAAGAUCAGGCACAAUAAGGAUACAGUCAAUGAUAUGUGGACAUGCAUCAAAGCUUCGCUCUUGCUGGUGACAUCAUAGCCUUCCAAUGACCAUGACAUCCACCACCUCCCCCUUGUGAAGCUCCACAUACUGCUCUGUCUUUGGAGGUAGCAUCAACAGUCCAUUGGCACUGCGCAUACUCAUCAGACGACUGCUCAUCUGAUUCCCUACAGGAGAGAGGCAGAACAAUUUCAGUGGAGUCUUCAGUUUGUUCCAAAUGCCGCAACAUGGUGCAACAAACAAAAGCUGUUAUGACGAAAAUGUUUAUGUGGCUAACUUAUUCAUGGAGCUGGGAUCUUGCUGUUCCAAGGUGGAUGGAAACAGAGAACUCUGUGGAGAUUUAGUCAGCCUCUCACUGCACUGGCUCUCAAAACCAUCACUCUCAUUGCUGAUGGCUUUCCUAUCCAGCCUUCCACAUUAUCUGUACCAUGUAUCUUGACCUAGUAAAUUGCUAAUACUAUCAAAA